AAAAGUCCUUCGUGAUGAGAUAGCCGGUGUCCUCCAAAUGCUAUAGGUUAUGAGUUUAACUGAUAUUACAAUUGCUUCACUUCAUAAAGGUCGUAACAAAGAUGCAGCUUUUCUGUCUAUAGUCAAGCAGCUCUAACAGCGGCCGUUUGCAGAGUUGGACGCCAAGGGAAAUAAUCUCCCGCAACUCUGCUCUUGAAGAAAGCCCUGCUGCUCGACCAUUCUUUCCUGCAAACUCGACUCAACUCAAGUUGCCGUAUGAGUUGACUUGUUUCGUGUGGCCAUGCUUUGUAUAUCUUGAACGCGGUCGAAUGUUUUAUUGACUAAUGGAAAUGAGUCAUCUUGGAGGACUAGUGAAGAGAUGAUGCUCUGUCGUGCA
rnacentral:lncRNA from 1 species